CAGAUGCUGUCCGGCCACGUGAGGGGAAGUUGUACGUUCGUUCACGUGCUUGUAUAUCAGUAUAUAUAUACAUAUAUUAUAUAUAUAUAUACAUAUAUUUAUAUAUAUUUAUAUAUGCAUUCACAUGUAUGGAUAUAUAUAUAUAUAUAUAUAUAUAUAUAUAUAAAUUUGUAUGUGUAUGUUUGAGUGAAAGAAAUUGAGGGGAGAAGAAGACGAUCGAGAAAUCUAAAAGAGGAGAAAGACGAGAGAGCGGCUAACCUCUCGCGGCUCUUUUGUUCUCUCUUCGCUCCCGUUCCUUCUCUUUCUCUCUCUCUCUCUCUCUCUCUCUCACUCUUUCUCUUUCUUUCUAUCUUUCUCUCUCUCUCUCUCUCUCUCUCUCUUUCUCUCUUGGUUCGUUCCUCUAGUUCCCACACUCUCCACAGUUCGCCGCCGUUCCGUUUCGUUAUCUCUUCGAAAGCAGCGAAACGCGCGACAUACUUUGCUCCCGAUUUGUCUCUUCUAACAUCGCAAAAUCUGUUAAAUAUUUAAUUUAAUAUACGAUAUAAAUAUGUACGAACAUAUUACUCAACUUGUAUGAAAGAUCACGUAUAAAUAUCGUGAUGCUUCGGUUUCCUUCCCAAUGGCCGACGUUGUUUCAUGUUCCAUCGCGCGAUCUAGACUUUCACCUUUUUGCUAAGAGACGAAGAAGGAAAUAACAGAUGAAAUCGUUGGAUCGCAGAUUAUCGUACUGGGUUCUACAUCAGCCGCGUCACGUUUGUACAAUUCAAUUAGCUCAGUGGACGUCAUUCGACGGCGUGCACGCUGCCGCCGCCGCCCACCGCCCACCAUCACCGCCGCCACCAUCACCACCACCACCAUCAUCAUCAUCACCACCACCACCGCCUCCGCCGCGCCGUUCUCUCUGUUCCCGCGUAGACGUUCAAACCAGUUUUCGAUAUUACGUGUUUGCCUUUUCUAAUCCGCAACACCGUUAAAUCUUGAUUCCAUGAGAAAGAGAGACAGAGAGAUAGAGAGAGAGAGAGAGAAAGAGAGAGAAAGAGAGAGAAAGA